rnacentral:lncRNA from 1 species
CUACUUAAUGUUUCAUAAUUAUUAGAUAGUUUCAGCUUAUCUUUGAUAAGAGAUUGAUUUUCUUCUUUUAGAACUUUAUUUUUAUUGAUCAGUUUUUUGUGUUCUUCCAUGAGUUCUAAAAAUGCAUCAUGUAAUUCAUCAACAGUAAAAUCACAUUCAAGUUCAGAAUCUACCUCAUCGUCAUUGGCCAUAUGGCAAAUUUGGGCCGUCUCUUGAUGAUCUUCCUCUUCCGAACUUGACUCCUCACUUUCACUCCAUA